rnacentral:lncRNA from 1 species
ACUUUUUUUUCUAAGACCAAUUUUCUGAUUGGCACCGAAUAAUUAAUCUAGUUUGGACGUCGAUUUUUUACUGACGUUUUUUGGUUUUCCAAUCCUAUGGCACUUUUCAACUGUUUGUGUGUUUUCCGCAUAAGUCUCGUAGUGCAACGCCGGACACCUUUAGAGAUCCGGCAAAAACUCUCGGAUAUUGCUAUAUAUGCAUCAGUUUCGAAUUGUGUCUUCAGUCAAUAGUUGGGUUGCCCGGCUCCUGUGCUUGCCUCCUAUGUUCCGCUUUGUUCAGCUGGGUGUGCACAGGGAGAACCACUGCGAUUGUGCUUCCAGCUCGCAUGUUUAAGCACCGCAGUGGAGAAAGCCGAAAACUGACUGUCACAAUAAGCAUAAACUGGUCAGUGGUCCGAUGACUGUAUUAAAUGACGGGCCGUUCAUAACAUUGGCCAAAGUGUUUACGGCUUGACCUCGGCUGUCGCCGAACACUAACCGGGGGAUUACUUGCUGGCCUCCCAACUUUAAACUCCUAUGACUAAGGGAAAGUUAUAAGGCCCGCAUAUCUGAUUGCCUCGUUUCCGCCAACACAACCUCCUUCGGGCACCGAGACAUCAGCUAAGGGUUGUUUUGUUAUUACGAAAACACCCUGCGUAGCAUCUACAAGGGGGUAGAAGCCGAUGAUGCGCCACUUUCAGAUUAUAAACGGUCGCAACGGAAGUGAAAAUUUGGGUUCAUUUAGACCACAGAGUCCGGAAGCUUUCCCCGAACUAAAUCCUCAGUAUUUUCCUCCCACAUUGAUCGGAGCUCAGAUUUCAUGAUCAUACUUAGCAUGACAACCCAAAGAAAGGAACCGAUAGCGGGACUAUUUUCUUUGGACGAUGUUUCUUAUGUUAAACAAUAAUAUAACAUGUCUCUCUGCGUACCUUUGUUUAUAAAACCGUAUGGCCGGAUUGCCUUGUUUGCCGUAAAUAUUUUCCCUCAUAAAGGCUUUAUAAAGUAGGACAAACACUCCUUGGCUGCUGGCCGAGGAGGUUGAAGCCGAUGGUCGGUCAACAAAGUUUUGUACAAUGCAGAUCCGAGCAUUAAUGACGUAAAUUACUUGGAUAUAUAGAGUCAUUCCAUAUAAUUUGUGAUUUUACUAUGGAUAUCGAUCCUUAAUCCGGCCUCUCGUGCCCGCAUUAAGGCUCGGGGGCUACUGGGCUUCGGGCUUAUUAUUUGCAAAUAUUAAAGGGGUACAUCGAUCCCCUGAUCUGGUGUUGCCACCCGACCAGUGUCUCGGGGGCUACUGCAUUGACAAUCCAAUGCAGAAAAUUUAAAGUGCAAUAUAGUUUUCGAGGAGAUUAUUAUCCUCAGGUUGGUCGGCCGCACCCAACCUGAGUCUCGAGGACUUUGCACACCGCGUUUCUAUUCCUGAGUAUGCUGCCGAGCUGGGAAUUGUUCCUCAGGCUGAUUUUAUGAAUCGACCUGAGUCUCAGGGGCUACUACGGUUAGCGGUUUGAUUUUUUCCUUCAGGUGCAUCCCGGAUAUUAGGCCAACACGCACCUUGAGGGCUACUGGCUAUACAUCUCGGUAGAGAUUACAUUGCAUAAUUCGGAAUAAAAUUCAUAAGUCAGCCCAUGGCCGAGGUGCUGCACCACCUCAGAUACAGUCCGGCGUUGGUGCUCGACUACAAUAGACACCCCGGAAGCAGUCCGGCAUAAAGCUCGGACGCGAGUGGCUGGCUCCGUAGAGGGCAUUUCCGGCAUUAAGCUCGGCUAAACUCCUUCAACUUUUUUUAACCAAGGUGAUCUAUGACACCUCGGAUAUAAUCUGGUGUUGGAGCUUGGACACAGUCCGGCGUUGGAGCUCAGAUACAUUCCGGUGUUGGAGCUCGGAAGUAGCCCGACGUUGGUGCUCGGGUGCAAAAGACACCUCGAAUGUAGUUCGGUGUUGGAGCUUGAACGCAAGAGGACACUGCUGCCCGGGAACAACUUCAAACCCGAGGUGUGGCAUAAAAAUAACAAGGCAUUGACAAAGGCCAAGAACUUAAAGGGGCUCCUCGGAUACCCGACGUGUAAACUCUUCGGAGUCACCUCAGCGAUCCUUAAGAUCAAAGACGAGAAGAUUUGUUGAACCCGUUUUCAAGACCGACGACCGAAGAUGAAGAACAGUUUGGAAGAAUCGAGGAGCGUCCCCAACUUGAAGACCGGUUCAGGGGGCUACUGACGGUGUCCUUGACUACGGGGUACUCAUCACGUCGUCUCCUGAUCAGUUGGAUUGGGCCGAGGACCCCUAUGGCCGUAUACUCAUGGGCCAGUUCAGACAACCCCUGCCACAUACAAGGAAGACUCCACAAGACUUGGCGCCCAAGACAAGGACUGUUCUAAACCCUAGGCCUUUGGUGUCUUAUAUAAACCGAGGCCAUAAUAGUCAAUAGACAAUAUCAUAUUCAUUACUACAAUCUCGUGGUAGAUACAUGUAUUCUGUACUACACCCAUAUGAAUACAAUCAAAAGCAGGACGUGGGGUAUUAUCUCCUCAAGAGAGACCGAACCUGGGUAAAAUCCUGUGUCCGUGUUACCAUCGCUCCAAGACGCCUAGCUUAGGACCCCUACUACGAGAUAUGACGGAUUUGACACCGACACAGGGGGCACGCCCCAGGGGGUGGGGGGCACGCCCUAGGGGGGUGGGCGCGCCCCUAACCCUCGUGGUGACCCUGUAAGGCGGUUGUUGCCCUUAUUUUGCCGCAAGAAAGCUAAUAUUUGGAGAAAUUUGUGUUCAAAGUUUCAAUCCAAUCGGAGUUACGGAUCUCCGAGAAUAUAAGAAACGAUGAAAGGGCAGAAUCAGGAACGCAGAAACAGAGAGAGACAGAGAGACAGAUCCAAUCUCGGAGGGGCUCUUGCGCCUCCCACGCCAUGGAGACCAUGUACAAGAGGGGAAACCCUUCUCCCAUCUAGGGGGAAGGUCAAGGAAGAAGAAGAAGGAAGGGGGCUCUCUCCCCCUCGCGUCCGGUGGCGCCGGAACACCGCCAGGGCCAUCAUCGUCACCGCAAUCUACACCAACACCUCCGUCAUCCUCACCAACAUCUUCAUCACCGUCCUCCAUCUAUCUACAGCGGUCCACUCUCCCGCAACCCGCUUUACCAUCUACUUGAACAUGGUGCUUUAUGCUUCAUAUUAUUAUCCAAUGAUGUGUUGCCAUCCUAUAUGUCUGAGUAGAUUUUCAUUGUCCUUUUGGUAAUUGGUGAAUUGCCAUGAUUGGUUUAAUUUGCUUGUGGUUUUGUUGCUGUCCUUUGGUGCCCAUCAUAUGAGCACACAUGUGGAUCACACCAUAGGGUUAGUUAUAUGUUGAUAGGACUAUGUAUUGGAGGGCAAGAGUGACAUAAGCUUCAACCUAGUAUAGAAAUUGAUGCAUACGGGACUGAAGGGGGACCAAUAUAUCUUAAUAAUAUGGUUGGGUUUUACCUUAAUGAACGUUAGUAGUUGCGGAUGCUUGCUAAUAGUUCCAAUCAUAAGUGCAUAGAAUUCCAAGUCAAGGAUGACAUGCUAGCAGUGGCCUAUCCCACAUAAAACUUGCUAUCGGUCUAGUAACAUAGUCAAUUGCUUAGGGACAAUUUCGCAACUCCUACCACCACUUUUCUAUACUCGCUAUACUAACUUUAUUGCUUCUUUAUCUAAACAUCCCCUAGUUUUUAUUUACGUGCUCUUUAUAUUCUUGCAAACCUAUCCAACAACACCUACAAAGUCCUUCUAGUUUCAUACUUGUUUUAGGUAAAGCGAACGUCAAGCGUGCGUAGAGUUGUAUCGGUGGUCGAUAGAACUUGAGGGAAUAUUUGUUCUACCUUUAGCUCCUCGUUGGGUUCGACACUCUUACUUAUUGAAAGAGGCUACAAUUGAUCCCCUAUACUUGUGGGUUAUCAUCGCUCAAGAUAAGAAACCCAAGUCUGGACCUAAGCCUGAAACUGAGUGCUUCUGCUUCAAAGGGACUAGUCACUGGAAGCGGAACUUCCCCAAGUAUUUGGCGGAUAAGAAGGAUGGCAAAGUGAAAGGUAUAUUUGAUAUACAUGUUAUUGAUGUGUACCUUACUAAUGCUCGUAGUAGCGCCUGGGUAUUUGAUACUGGUUCUGUUGCUCAUAUUUGCAACUUGAAACAAGGGCUACAGAUUAAACGAAGAUUGGCUAAGGAUGAGGUGAUGAAGCGCAUGGGAAAUGGUUCCAAGGUCGAUAUGAUCGUUGUCGGCAUGCUACCUCUACAUCUACCUUCGGGAUUAGUUUUAGACCUGAAUAAUUGUUAUUUGGUGCCAGCGUUGAGCAUCAACAUUAUAUCUGGAUCUUGUUUGAUGCGAGACAGUUAUUCAUUUAAAUCAGAGAAUAAUGGUUGUUCUAUUUAUAUGAGUAAUAUGUUUUAUGGCCAUGCACCCUUGCUGAGUGGUCUAUUUUUGUGAAAUCUCGAUCGUGAUGAUACACAUGUUCAUAAUAUUGAAGCCAAAAGAUGCAAACUUGAUAAUGAUAAUGCAACUUAUUUGUGGCACUGCCGUUUGGGUCAUAUCGGUGUAAAGCGCAUGAAGAAACUCCAUGUUGAUGGACUUUUGGAAUCACUUGAUUAUGAAUCACUUGGCGUCUGCGAACCGCGCCUCAUGGGCAAGAUGACUAAAACUCCAUUCUCCGGAACAAUGGAACGAGCUACUGACUUAUUGAAAAUAAUACACACCGAUGUAUGCGGUCCAAUGAGUGUUGAGGCUCGUGGUGGGUAUCAUUAUUUUCUUACCUUCAUAGAUGAUUUGAGCAGAUAUGGGUAUAUCUACUUGAUAAAGUAUAAGUCUGAAACAUUUGAAAAGUUCAAAGAAUUUCAGAGUGAAGUGGAAAAUCAUCGUAACAAGAAAAUAAAGUUUCUAUGAUCUGAUCGUGGAGAAGAAUAUUUGAGUUACGAGUUCGGUCUUCAUUUGAAACAACAUGGGAUAGUUUCAGAACUUACGCCACCUAGAACACCACAGUGAAAUGGUGUGUUUGAAUGUCGUAACCGUACUUUAUUGGAUAUGGUGCGAUCUAUGAUGUCUCUGACUGAUUUACCGCUAUUGUUUUGGGGUUAUGCUUUAGAGACGGCUGCAUUCACUUUAAAUAGGGCACCAUCAAAAUCCGUUGAGACAACGCCUUAUGAAAUGUGGUUUGGUAAGAAACCAAAGUUGUCGUUUCUUAAAGUUUGGGGUUGCGAUGCUUAUGUGAGAAAGCUUCAACCUGAUAAGCUCGAAGCCAAAUCGGAGAAGUGCAUCUUCAUAGGAUACCCAAAGGAGACUAUUGGGUACACCUUCUGUCACAGAUCCGAAGGCAAGAUAUUUGUUGCUAAGAAUGGAUCCUUUCUAGAGGAGGAGUCUCUCUGAAAGAAGUGAGUGGGAGGAAAGUAGAACUUGAUGAGGUAAUUGUACCUUCCCCCUUAUUGGAAAGUAGUUCAUCACAUAAAUCAGUUCUAGUGAUUCCUAAACCAAUUAGUGCGGAAGCUAAUGAUGAUGAUCAUGAAACUUCAGAUCAAGUUACUACUGAAACUCGUAGGUGUUCCAGAGUGAGAUCCGCAAGAGAGUGGUAUGGUAAUCCUGUUGUGAAAGUCAUGUUACUAGAUCAUGGUGAACCUACAAACUAUGAGGAAGCCAUGAUGAGCCCAGAUUCCGCGAGAUGGCUUGAGGGCAUGAAAUCUGAGAUGGGAUCCAUGUAUGAGAACAAAGUGUGGACUUUGGUGGACUUGUUUGAUGACUGGCAAGCCAUAGCAAAUAAAUGGAUCUUCAAGAAGACGACCGACGCUGACAGUAAUGUUACUGUCUACAAAGCUCAACUUGUUGCGAAAGGUUUUCAACAAGUUCAAGGAGUUGACUAUGAUGAGACUUUCUCACCCGUAGCAAUGCAUAAGUCUGUUCGAAUCAUGUUAGCAAUUGCCGCAUAUUAUGAUUAUGAAAUUUGGUAGAUGGAUGUCAAAACUGCAUUCCUGAAUGGAUUUCUGGAAGAGUUGUAUAUGAUGCAACCAGAUGGUUUUGUCGAUCCAAAGGGUGCUAACAAAGUGUGCAAGCUCCAGCGAUCCAUUUAUGGACUGGUGCAAGCCUCUCGGAGUUGGAAUAAACGCUUUGAUAGUGUGAUCAAAGCAUAUGGUUUUAUACACACUUUUGGAGAAGCCUGUAUUUACAAGAAAGUGAGUGGGAGCUCUGUAGCAUUUCUAAUAUUAUAUUUGGAUGACAUAUUGUUGAUUGGAAAUGAUAUAGAAUUUCUGGAUAGCAUAAAGGGAUACAUGAAUAAGAGUUUUUCCAUGAAAGACCUCGGAGAAGCUGCUUACAUAUUGGGCAUCAAGAUCUAUAGAGAUAUAUCAAGACGCUUAAUUGGACUUUCACAAAGCACAUACCCUGAUAAAGUUUUGAAGAAGUUCAAAAUGGAUCAGUCAAAGAAAGGGUUCUUGCCUGUGUUACAAGGUGUGAAAUUGAGUCGAACUCAAUGCCCGACCACUGCAGAAGAUAGAGAGAAAAUGAAAUUCAUUCCCUAUGCUUCAGCCAUAGGUUCUAUCAUGUAUGCAAUGCUGUGUACCAGACCUGAUGUGUGCCUUGCUAUAAGCAUAGCAGGGAGGUACCAAAGUAAUCCCGGAGUGGAGCACUAGACAACAGUCAAGAACAUCCUGAAAUACCUGAAAAGGACAAAGGAUAUGUUUCUCGUUUAUGGAGGUGACAAAGAGCUCGUCGUAAAUGGUUACAUCGAUGCAAGCUUUGACACUGAUCCAGAUGACUCUAAGUCGCAAUCCGGAUACAUAUUUUUAUUGAAUGGAGGAGCUGUCAGUUGGUGAAGUUCCAAGCAGAGCGUCGUGGUGGGAUCUACGUGUGAAGCGGAGUACAUUGCUGCUUCGGAAGCAGCAAAUGAAGGAGUCUAGAUGAAGGAGUUCAUAUCCGAUCUAGGUGUCAUACCUAGUGCAUCGGGUCCAAUGAAAAGCUUUUGUGACAAUACUGGUGCAAUUGCCUUGGUAAAGGAAUCCAGAUUUCGCAAGAGAACUAAGCACAUCAAGAGACGCUUCAAUUCCAUCUGUCAUCAAGUGUCGGAGGGGGACAUAGAGAUUUGCAAGAUACAUACGGAUCUGAAUGUUGUAGACCCGUUGAAUAAGCCUCUUCCAUGAGCAAAACAUGAUUAGCACCAAAACUCCAUGGGUGUUAGCAUCAUUACUAUGUAAUCUAGAUUAUUGACUCUAGUGCAAGUGGGAGGCUGAAGGAAAUAUGCCCUUGAGGCAAUAAUAGAGUUAUUAUUUAUUUCCUUAUUUCAUGAUAAAUGUUUAUUAUUCAUGCUAGAAUUGUAUUAACCGGAAACUUAGUACAUGUGUGAAUACAUAGACAAAACAUAAUGUCCCUAGUAUGCCUCUACUUGACUAGCUCCUUAAUCAAAGAUGGUUAUGUUUCCUAACCAUAGACAUGUGUUGUCAUUUUAUGAACGGGAUCACGUCAUUAGGAGAAUGAUGUGAUGGACAUGACCCAUCCGUUAACUUAGCAUUAUGAUCGUUAUAGUUUCAUUGCUACUGCUUUCUUCAUGAUGUAAGUGCAUCUAUUGCCCCUUAGUGGUUUUGGUGUAUUGAAGACUUAUAGGUUAAGGGACUAAUGUGUUUGUGAGUGUACACAGGCUCUAUAAGUCAAUGAGGAGUUUGAUAUUUACAGAGAAAGUCGACCCCUAAAAAUGAAUGUCUUCGACUGAAGACUUUGGUUCCCCUAAAGACUUUGAAAGUGAAGAAAUUGGUGUGACCUUGAAGACUUGGAUAUUCAUGCGAGGAAUCUGAAGCGUGAAGACUUUUGUUUUCGUAGUUUCAUUUUCUCUUUCUUGAGUCAUACGAAACACCAUACUGUUAAAGGGGGUCGAGGUAAUACUAAGGAAACUGAUUUCCAAGUGAUGCUCAUCUCAAAAUCCUACACCUCCCCAAUCCUUCGAGUGAAUCCAUUGGAAAUCUCAUAUCAGUUCAGUCAAUUUCUUUAGUGACAGAGACGAAUAUCUUCUAGUCUCUGAGGAAUUUGUUCUGACUGAGGAGUGAGGAAUUUGCUAGUGCGGAUUGCCUACACAGUGAGGAACAUGAUAGCCCUAAGGAAUUCAAACCUCAAAUCCGACCACUGUUGUGCCGCGCGCCAGCUGUUCCAAAAUAUCCUACCACCUAACGGUCAUAUCAUCCAAGGGCAUUUAUGUCUUAUCAUGUCGAACUGCUCCCUAGGCUAUAAAUAGCCGCCCCUACAACCACUAGCUGGUUGGCAGCUCCGAGAGAAACUGACACUUGUCAUUUGAGAGCAUCCCAUCCUCCGAGGACUUUGGUCGAAAAUCAUCUAGUGAGGAAACCCAAAUCCAAAACCCAAACCUACAAACCCCAAAGUGAUUGAGCAUCACUGAAGAGAUUGUUCCUUUGUGGAACCGCCGCUUGUUACCUUUGAGGACUGUGUAUCCUCCAAAUGGUUAGGCGUCAUGGUCUAAGCAUCCAAGAGGAAUUGUGGAUUGCCGAGUGACCAAGUCUGUGAAGGUUUGGAAGUCAACUGUGAAGACUUACCACUACUGUUGGGCGAGGUCUAUGUGAUCUUAGCUCAAGGAGAAUACAGUGAGGACUAUGUGUCCGAGACUGUGUGUCCUCGAGUUUAAAUACUUAGCCGCUCCAACCAGACAUACAACUAUCACAACAGUUGGAACUGGUCUACCAAAUCCUUAUCUUCACCAAGCCUACUGGUUCUAUUUCCUUAACCCUUUCAUUUCCUCAGUUAUUUGUUGAUGUACCUGGUCAUUACUAUUUAAAGACUUUGACUAAAGAAUUUCUCUAAUUCCUCAAUCCUAUUUCUUCAGUCUGUUUUGUCUUCAUCCUGCUUGUCCUGUGUUUACGCUUUCUGUACUCUAUGUUUGUAUUUCAUUUCAUCAUGAUGACUAUGUUGUUGCUCUGUUAUGCUUACACCUGAGUACUUAUUCCGCUGUAAGUAGUUCUUCUCUUAGGAAUUUCCUCAGCCUGAAAUUCCUCAGUGAAGAAUUCAUAAAAAUCGCCUAUUCACCCCCCUCUAGUCGAUGUAACGCACUUUCAAUUGGUAUCAGAGCAAGUUAAUCCAUUGUUCUGUGUGAUUUUGGUUUAACCACCUGGAGUUUUAGUUAUGUCGACUGCAGGUAUGAUCUAGGUCUCGGCUGGGUGUCCUACCUUUGAAGGGAUAGACUACCCCUGCUGGAGAAACAAGAUGCAUAUGCAUCUUGAGGCAAUUGAUAACGAUCUCUGAUACGUUGUGGAAAAUGGCGUUCCCUCAGUCCCUCCGUCUAUGAAUGCUUCUGAUGUGAAGAGAUUCAAGCAACUCGAUUCUCAGGCGAAGAAUAUCAUAUGUGGCCAUCUGAGCAAAGGAUUGUACGGCAGAGUGAGUGCCCUGGAAACUGCCAAGCUAAUUUGGGACAGGAUGUCCAAGGUCAACGAAGGAGUCUCAACUCAACGUGACUCCCGAGUUGACGUUCUUCGCAAUCUCUUCAACCGCUUCAAAAGACUCAACAACGAAAAUGUUCAGCAAACAUUCGAUCGCCUCACUGACAUCUCAAAUGAGCUUCAAGCACUUGGUGCCACUGACAUCACUGACCAUGAGGUGGUGAAGAAAUUGCUGAGAUCACUUGAUACCUCAUUCGAUACCCUCGCACUGAUGAUUCAAGAACGAGCUGAUUACAAGUCACUUGAUCCCGCUGAUAUCCUCGAGAGGCUAAAUACACAUGAGUUUCAGCUUGCUGAGAAGAGAGAUCUCUAUGGACCGAGCUACGGAGGAUCACGUGCACUGAAGGCCAAGGCAGUAUCUGAGUCUGAAGCUGAGGAUUCUGGUAGCAGCCUUGGUGAUCCUGAAGAACUGACCAGGAGCUAGCAAUGCUCAUGAGGAAAUUCCAGAAGUUCUCUCACCGCAGUCGCUUUGGAAAGUCUGCAAGAAAUGAUGAUUCCUCGUCCCGUGACUACAAAAAGAGAACUUGGCACAAAUGCAAGAAACCUGGUCACUACAUGUCUGAUUGUCCUUUGUGGGAAAAUGAAUCAAAGAAAAAGAAGUACAAAGAUGAUGAUUUUGAUGACUCAAAGAAGAAGAAGAAAUCUUCACAGUCUUCAUCAUCAAAAUCUUCAAAGUCUUCAUCUCACAAGAAGAGCAGUUCCAAGAAGGCCCCAUCAUUCAUUGGCAAGGAAAUGGACUCUGAAGCGGAAUCUGAGGAUAAUGUGGAAGAGGAGGAAUCUGACUCUAGUGUGGUGAGCCUAGCCCUCGCUACUGCUUACGUCAGCAAGUCCAUCUUCAACACAGAAGAAAAUGACUUCCCCAACUCUGCUGACAAGAGUGUCGAUGACUAUGCUCCCACCUCUUGCUUCAUGGAAAAAGGUGCCAAGGUACUCAAACAUUCCACCUCUGACUCUAGUGAGGAUGAAUCUGAUGACAAUCUCAAGCCUAGCUACUCGAAACUUGCUAAAAUUACUAUUAAACAACAGAAGGCUUUAGAAAAGAUUCAAAAUCAACUAGACAGAAGCAAUGACCUGUUGGGUGAGGAAUUGAAUCGAGCUAAGACUCUAACAAAUAAUCUUCAGAGACUUCAAACUCGGUUUGACAACCUUCAAAAUCAUCAUAACACUCUCUUAACAGAUCAUGAAAAGCUUUCUUAUUAAUUUCUUUAGAGAAAGCAAGAUCUUGAGAAGUUAAAAGCGAGUUAUGAAGAUCUUCAAAAGGUAAACGAAUCAUUGCUUGCUCAACAGAUCAGUUCCGCUCAGGAAGAAUUUAUUCCACCAUGUCUUAAAUGCAUUGAGCUUGAAUCUGCUAAUUCAUCACCUGGAUGUUCAAAUGCUUCUAUUGCUGCAAAUUCUUCAACUGUCUCUUGGUCACAAAUUUCUCAUCUGAGGAUACCACAAGUAUCACUGACGAUAAUGCAGGUCUGAAGGAAUUGUAUGUGACAGGCAUUUAAAAAAGCCUCAAAGGGCAUCAGACUCUAUGUGAUGUGCUCAAAAAGCAGAUCUUGAACAGGAACCCUUGGAAAGAGGGUAUUGCCUUUGAGAGGAAACUCAAUGCAGACGGGACCUAUUGGAAACCUGAGCAGUAUCACAAAAUGUCAUGGGUUGCUGCGAAAGGACCUCCCGUAGAUACAUGCACUUUAUCUGGCUUUACCUGUGAUUCUUCCUAUUCGUCUGAUGAGUCAUUUGACUCCAACUAUAAGCUGUUUAAGAAUCAGACUGGUGAAGUAUUUGGUUGAUGUGUUGGAACUAACUGCAGGAACGGCCCCCCUAUGAAGAAAAUCUGGGUUCCCAAAAGAUGCCUUGAAAAUCUUCAGGUGAAUGGCAUCAUGACACCACCAAUGAAGAAUAGGAACCCCAGAUAAAAUUCUUCAUAUGGAUCAAAUUCUUCUUAUGGAUCCAAGUCCUCAUAUGGACCAAAUUCUUCAUAUGGAUCAAAUUCCUCACAUGGAUCAAAAUCCUCAUAUGAACAUCAUCGUCCUAACACUUCUGUUUUGCAGGGAAAGUCUAAAGGCUAUGAAUAUGUGCAUUAUUCUUCAAACCAUUAUAUUCAUAAGUCCUCGAAGAAUUUCUCUGCUUAUUCAUAUGCUUAUCCUAACCACUCUUCUGUGAAACAAAGUGCGCUGGCUUCUAUGCCAUCCUUUUCUUAUGGAGCUUGCAGAAUGAUGAACUCUUUGCCACCCCUGCAGAUCUGGGUGGUGAAGAAAAAGAACUAAUCUCUUAUGCAGGGUCAGGUCUCCAGACGAACUUAAUCGUCUGAAGAAUUUGCUGGAGACCUGAAUGUGCUUGAAAGGACGCAAGUUAAUCAUGAAGAAAUGAAUCAUUCAUUUCUCACGUCCUCAUACUGCUAUAUCUGUUACUGUUGAUGAAAUUGAUAUCAUAGUAUUCACUGAUGAAGUAUAUGGGUUCGUAAGUUGCACUAAUUCAUCUGCAGGAUGAACAACCCAAAGCUACUGAGUGGGUCCUCGACAGUGGAUGUACAAGUCACAUCACUGGUGACAGGAACUUGUUGAUGGACACUAAUUUGUCACCGUCUCAUCUGAAGCAUAUCACCUACGCUGACAAAGACAAAAGCAAGGUGUUGGGUCUAGGUAAGGUUGCAAUCUCAAAGGAUAGACACAUGGACAAAGUCAUGCUUGUCGAGUCCUUAGGAUUCAACCUCAUGUCUGUCUCAAUGCUUUGUGAUCUUGAUAUGGUUGUUUUCUUUGGCAAAUAUCGUUGCCUUGUGCUAAUGGAAUCUAACAACUUCAAAGUCUUCGAAGGCUUUAGGAAAGGAGACAUGUAUAUUGUUGAUUUCUCUGGAGGACCACAACCUUCCACAUGUCUACUUGCAAAAGCUUCAGAAUGCUGGCUAUGGCAUCGACGACUGGGUCAUGCUGGGAUGAGGAACUUGCAUACACUCGCGAAGAAGAAGCAUGUCAUUGGCAUCGAGGGUGUAAAAUUCCUCAAAGAUCAUCUUUGUGGGGCUUGUGAGGCUGGAAAGAUCACCAGAGCCAAGCAUCCCUCGAAAACUAGCAUGACCACUUCUCGUCCCUUUGAAUUACUUCAUAUGGAUCUCUUUGGCCCUACUCAUUAUGGCACGUUCUCUAGUUCUGCAUCAUUAUAUGGCUUUGUCAUAGUUGAUGACUAUUCUCAUUACACAUGGGUGCAUAUCAUCACUUACAAAAAUGAAGUGCAGGAAGUCUUCAGACAAUUUUCCUCAAGGGCUUCCACUAACUUCGGUGUGAAGAUCAAGCAUAUCAAGAGUGAUAAUGGAACCGAGUUCAAGAACACUGGCCUCAAUGAAUAUCUUGAGAUGCUUGGUAUUACUCACAAAUUAUAUGCUCCUUAUACUCCUCAGUAGAAUGGCGUCGUGGAGUGCAAGAACAGAACUCUUGUUGAGAUGGCUCGCACCAUGCUUGAUGAAUACAAGACACCUCAGCGCUUCUGGUCUAAAGCAAUUGAUACUGCAUGUCAUAUCAUCAACAGGGUAUAUCUUCACAAAUUCCUCAAAAAGACCUCACAUGAACUCCUCACUAACAAGAAACCCAAUGUAAGCUAUUUCAAAGUCUUCAGUGCUAAAUGCUGGAUUAGAGAUCCUCACCGUCACUCUAAAUUUGCACCGAAAGCACAUGAGGGUUUUAUUCUUGGUUAAAGAAAGGACUCGCACACCUACAGAGUCUUCAACAUCAAUCAUCACAAGGUUGUUGAAACUGUAGAUGUGCGGUUCGAUGAAACUAAUGGCUCGCAAAGAGAGCACCUACCUCCUAUGCUAGAUGAAAUGUCACCUGAGGACUCCAUCAAGUUCAAAGCUACUGAGGAUGCAUCCCUACCGAAGAAUCUGCUAAAGAAGUCAUUCCGGAUCGUGAAGAAAAUGAUGCUGGUGCUGAAGAAACUAGUCCUGAAGAAAUUGUUGAGCCUAAGCAAAGUCGUCAACCCGCACAUCCUCACGUUGCAAAUGAAGUGCAGAUCAAGAAGAUCAUCGAUGACAUCAACACACCAGGUCCCCUCACGCGCUCAAAAGCUUCACAUUUAUUUAACUUUUGUGGGAAUUUUGCGUUUGUCUCUAUAACAGAGCCCACUAAAGUUGAUGAAGCAUUCAUGGAAUCUGAGUGGAUUCAAGCCAUGCAAGAUGAAUUGCAUCAAUUCGAGCUCAACAAUGUGUGGGAUCUUGUCAAGCGACAAGACCCAUGCAAGCACAAUAUCAUCAGUACCAAAUGGAUCUACCACAACAAACAAGACGAAAAUGGCCUCGUGGUGAGGAAUAAUGCUCGUCUUGUAGCUCAAGGCUACACACAGGUUGAAGGAAUUGAUUUUGAUGAAACUUUUGCACCUGUUGCUAGACUUGAGGCUAUUUGCAUAUUGCUUGCUUACGCUAACCAUCAUAAUGUCAUCUUACAUCAAAUGGAUGUGAAAAGUGCAUUCCUCAAUGUAAGCUUGAGGAAGAAGUAUAUGUUGCUCAACCACCAGGUUUUGAGGAUCCAAAAUUUCCAGAUCACGUCUACAGACUCAACAAGGCCCUCUAUGGCCUCAAGUAAGCACCUCGGGCGUGGUAUGACACACUGAAGGAAUUCCUCAUGAAGAAAGGCUUCAAACAUGGUUCACUUGACCCAACUCUUUUCACCAAAACAUAUGAUGAUUAAUUAUUCGUGUGCCAAAUAUAUGUUGAUGAUAUUAUCUUUGGCUGUACUAACCUACAUUACAAUGAUGAAUUUGCCUAUAUGAUGAGUGAAGAAUAUCAAAUGUCUAUGAUGGGAGAAUUGAAAUUCUUCUUAGGUCUUCAGAUUCGUCAACAAUACAAUGGCAUAUUCAUAUCUCAGGAGAAAUACCUCAAGGACGUGUUGAGGAAAUUCGGCAUGCAAGAUUACAAAGGCGUCAAAAUUCCCGUGCCCACUAAUCUCCAUCUAUGCACUGAUGAAAAUGGUAAAGACUUCGAUCAAAAGGUAUACCGCUCCAUGAUUGGCUCUUUAUUGUACCUAUGUGCAUCUAGGCCGGAUAUUAUGCUUAGUGUUUGCAUGUGUGCCUGAUUUCAAGCUACACCAAAGGAAUCACACUAUAAGGCUGUGAAGCAUAUUCUUCAAUCUAGCUCACACACUAACACUUGGAUUAUGGUAUCCCAAGGGCCCUUCCUUUGAUCUCAUUGGAUAUUCAGACUCUGACUAUGCUGGUGAUCGGGUGGACCACAAGUCAAUGUCAGGCACAUGUCGUUUCCUCGGACGAUCGUUGGUAUGUUGGUCCUCAAAGAAGCAGAACUGCAUAUCACUCUCCACUGCAGAAGUUGAGUACAUUGCUGCUGGAUCUUAUUGUGCUCAAUUACUAUGGAUGAAGCAAACACUCAAGGAUUAUGGCAUCAAUGUGAAGAAUCUGCCACUCUACUGUCACAAUGAGAGUGCUAUCGAGAUUGCACACAACCCAGUUCAGCACUCGAAGACAAAGCACAUCCAGAUUCGUCAUCAUUUUCUUCAUGACCAUGUGUUGAAGGGUGAUAUCUCCAUCGACCAUGCAAAUACUGAAGACCAGCUGGCCGAUAUCUUCACAAAGCCCUUGGAUGAGAAGAGAUUUAGCAAGUUGCGGUGUGAGCUAAAUAUCCUAGAAUCUUCGAAUGUUCUUUGAAAAGGACACACAUCCUAACACUUAUGCUGACUUGAUGACUUAGAUGUGCAACACACGAAGUAACAUUUUUCUUCAAUCAAUGAAGACUAACCCUCUAAGUGUAAAGAAAUUAAUGAAGAAAUUGAUUCUUAGAACCCUAUGAUAGUUGUACGCGGUGUAUGAAAUCAGCUUUCUUAUACGGUGGGAUACACCACCAACCAAAGUUGAAAAUCUUUAAUUUGAGUUUUUCUUCAUUUUUGAAAUUCCUCAGUUUUUCAAAUCCUUCAACUUUGCAUUGUCUUCACUCUUUCCGUCGUUGUUCUUCAUUAUAUAUUAUAUACUACACGUACAUACUCACGGUUUCGACAAAUACUACAUACAACAUACAAAACGCAAGUGGUGGUAACUACCACUGCUUGUAGGAAACAUUUGUCCUAUAUUAUAAUAACACCCCUUAAGAUCUUAUUCUGCACACGCUAACACUUCUGUACUACUUGAUCCAUAUGACCGGAACCACAGCAACCCGAGAAACUGCCUCCACCCCAUGACCUCUCCCCUCUACCCACUCCCUCCACCUCCUUCCUUCAACCAGGGCCGCGCCCACCCCACUGCGCCCCACCUCCUUCCACCACCUCCUUCCACCACCUCCCUCCCUCCGCGCCACCGACCCACAUCCCUGCCCCGCGUUGCCGCCCGACCUCCCUUCCCUGCGCCGCCGCCCCACCUCCAUGCCCCGCGUCGCCGCACCACCACCUCCCUCCCCCCGCGUCGCACCACUACCCCCAUCCCUGUGGUGCUCCACCAACCCCCUCCCUUCGGCGCUGAUGGAUGGCCUCCCCAUGACGCGCUGCCGAUGGAUCCAGCCAUCCACGGCCUACUCGCGCCGCGCCGCCAGUGGAUCCAGCCAUCCACGGCCUCCCAUGAUGCGUCAUCGCUGGAUCCGGCCAUCCCGAGCACCGCCCCGCCAUGGUGGUUGGGAUUCCCUUGAUCCCCCCUCCCUCCGGCGCCAGCCAGCGCCACGCCCGGACCUGACCCCUCCCCGUUCCUCCACCUCCUCCCUCCCAUCCCGUUGCAUCUCUCCCCGGCACUUCCUCUCCUACGACGGCCCAAAAUCCAUGGCUCUCGAGACGCACCGGGGUCCUCCUCUCCGUCCACGGCUAGGCGUAGGCCGGGUGCAUCGUCUCUGACCUCCUUCGGCAUCCACGGCCACCGCGCCACCACUGGACAUCGACGCAUGACAGAGAGCUUGUUCUACUCGCGUGAACUACCGAGGGGAAUGAGAUCUUUGCUCACGUGCCCCCUCAGCGCGAGCUUCUUCUCUCCUGGUGAGGACAAACGACCUCGAUCCGGCAUUUCCUCUCCUCACCAUCGUGCACUUCUCAGUCUGGUGUCGUCCACCGCACGGAGAGGGGAGAAACUCCCAGCACCGGCCCUGUGUCAUUCGAGCCUUGAAGCCCCCUUGCAGUUUGCGACAUGUAUGAGUGCAGUGCGCUAUUCGCAUUGGUGCAGCCUGCUGGACUCCAGUAGGGGAUGCAGCUCUUUCUUUGGGUGAAGUGCAGUCCACGACGAGCACCAAUGCGGUGCGGUGCUAUUCAAUUCUUCAGAUUUCUUUUGUGCAGUUUUGUUUGGAGCUUCCCAGCCGCCCCACAGCCCUGGUGGUCUCCAACCUCCCUGCUUCCAUUCUCGGCGGCCGCCCCAUAGUUGUGGACGCUCGGUUCUGGCCGCUAGCCCCUCCCCACUCUGAAGUGCUGGACGGCAACAACACGACAUUAGCAGAGCUGAGCGCCCUCCUCUCUCUCCUUUCCUACUUCUUCCUCACCUCUCCCUUACAUCUCGCUUGUGCCCCACAGGUGGCGCCAUGUCCAUCUCAAUCUUUUCCCGGCGCCACUCCAUGGAUCCCUUUGGAUCGCGACCUCCCUGUGGACCGAGUGUUGCAGCCCACUUUUUUCUUUUUGCAGUUCGCAUGUUAAAGUUUCUUUUGCAGUGUGUGUGUGCAGUUCGGUGUGAGCUCAAACAAAGACACAAAUCAGUCCACUAUGUUCUCUAAUGCAGAAAAAUGGAGGAGAAACCGAUUAUAAAAAAGAAACACAAGACACAGUUUUCUCUCUCUCGGUUGACUCGCUCUCCUCCAUGCAGUUCUUUAAGAGUUUGAUUGAUAUCCUGUAUUGUGGGUCGUGGAGUUUGAUUGAUGUCCUAAUAAAAUUCAUAAAAAAUGUCUGUUUAGAUUUGCAGUGCAGUGCAUAGUAUAGAGGAGUUUACUUUUGUAAAAAAAUUGCAUAGAGGAGUUCACUUUUUAUUAUUUUUUGGAGGAAUUGUUUUGCAAAAUUUGGUGUAUAAUUUCUUAAAAAUGAUGCAGCUCACUAAG